GACGAACGCUGGCGGCGCGCCUAACACAUGCAAGUCGAGCGAGAACCAGGACUUCGGUCCUGGGGACAGCGGCGAACGGGUGAGUAACACGUGGAUAACCUGCCCUCGGCACCGGAAUAGCCCGGGGAAACUCGGAUUAAUGCCGGAUAGCCCCACAGUCCUGCGGGACGGUGGGAAAAGGUAGCUUCGGCCUCUGGCCGAGGAUGGGUCCGCGGCGGAUUAGCUAGUUGGUGGGGUAACGGCCCACCAAGGCGACGAUCCGUAGCUGGUCUGAGAGGACGAACAGCCACACUGGGACUGAGACACGGCCCAGACUCCUACGGGAGGCAGCAGUGGGGAAUAUUGCGCUAAUGCGGGAAACCGUGACGCAGCGACGCCGCGUGAGGGAAGAAGGCCUUCGGGUUGUAAACCUCUUUCAGGAGGGAAGAAGCUACUCGGGUGAAUAGCCCAGAGGGUGACGGUACCUCCAGAAGAAGCCCCGGCUAACUACGUGCCAGCCGCCGCCGUAAGAC
rnacentral:rRNA from 1 species